rnacentral:rRNA from 1 species
GACGAACGCUGGCGGCGUGCCUAAUACAUGCAAGUCGAGCGGACCACUUCGGUGGUCAGCGGCGGACGGGUGAGUAACACGUGGGCAACCUGCCUGUGAGACUGGGAUAACACCGGGAAACCGGUGCUAAUACCGGAUAAUCCUUUCCUUCACAUGAAGGAAAGCUGAAAGACGGUUUCGGCUGUCACUUACAGAUGGGCCCGCGGCGCAUUAGCUAGUUGGUGAGGUAACGGCUCACCAAGGCAACGAUGCGUAGCCGACCUGAGAGGGUGAUCGGCCACACUGGGACUGGGACACGGCCCAGACUCCUACGGGAGGCAGCAGUAGGGAAUCUUCCGCAAUGGACGAAAGUCUGACGGAGCAACGCCGCGUGAGCGAUGAAGGCCUUCGGGUCGUAAAGCUCUGUUGUCAGGGAAGAACAAGUACCGGAGUAACUGCCGGUACCUUGACGGUACCUGACCAGAAAGCCACGGCUAACUACGUGCCAGCCGCCGCAGUAAUAC